AUUGAACGCUGGCGGCGUGCCUAACGCAUGCAAGUCGAGCGGUAACAGGUGUAGCAAUACAUGCUGACGAGCGGCGAACGGGUGAGUAAUGCUUCGGAAUCUACCUUAUGGUGGGGAAUAACUAGCCGAAAGGUUAGCUAAUACCGCAUACGUCCUACGGGAGAAAGCAGGGGAUCGCAAGACCUUGCGCCAAAAGAUGAGCCGAAGUCGGAUUAGCUAGUUGGUAGGGUAACGGCCUACCAAGGCGACGAUCCGUAGCUGUCUGAGAGGACGACCAGCCACGCUGGGACUGAGACACGGCCCAGACUACUACGGGAGGCAGCAGUGGGGAAUAUUGGACAAUGGGGGAAACCCUGAUCAAGCGACGCCGCGUGGGUGAAGAAGGCCUGCGGGUUGUAAAGCACUUUUAGUGGGGAUGAAAUGUGCAGGGUUAAUACCUCUGCAUUUUGACCUAACCCACAGAAAAAGCACCGGCUAACUCUGUGCCAGCCGCCGCAGUAA
rnacentral:rRNA from 1 species